rnacentral:rRNA from 1 species
GACGAACGCUGGCGGCGUGCUUAACACAUGCAAGUCGAGCGGUAAGGCCCUUUCGGGGGUACACGAGCGGCGAACGGGUGAGUAACACGUGGGUGACCUGCCCUCAGCUCUGGGAUAAGCCUGGGAAACUGGGUCUAAUACUGGAUAUGACUCCACGGUGCAUGUCGUGGGGUGGAAAGCCUUGUGCGGCUGAGGAUGGGCCCGCGGCCUAUCAGCUUGUUGGUGGGGUGANGGCCUACCAAGGCGACGACGGGCAGCCGGCCUGAGAGGGCGACCGGCCACACUGGGACUGAGACACGGCCCAGACUCCUACGGGAGGCAGCAGUGGGGAAUCUUGCGCAAUGGGCGAAAGCCUGACGCAGCGACGCCGCGUGAGGGAUGACGGCCUCGG